rnacentral:rRNA from 1 species
GAUUAUGGCUCAGGAUUAACGCUGGCGGCGUGCCUAAUACAUGCAAGUCGGAUGGUUAGCUUGCUAACCAUGGCGAACGGGUGAGUAACACGUAGGUAACCUGUCUAAGACACGAGGAUAACCAUUGGAAACGAUGGAUAAUACUGGAUAGGACAUUUAAAGGCAUCUUUGGAUGUUUAAAGAUUUAUCGGUAAUAGAGGGGCCUGCGGCGCAUUAGCUAGUUGGCGGGGUGAAGGCCCACCAAGGCGAUGAUGCGUAGCCGGACUGAGAGGUUGAACGGCCACAAUGGGACUGAGAACGGCCCAUACUCCUACGGGAGGCAGCAGUAGGGAAUUUUCGGCAAUGGGCGGAAAGCCUGACCGAGCAACGCCGCGUGAACGAAGAAGUAUUUCGGUAUGUAAAGUUCUUUUAUUUGGGACGAAAAAUUAAAAUUGACUGUACCAAAUGAAUAAGCUCCGGCUAACUACGUGCCAGCCGCCGC